rnacentral:rRNA from 1 species
CAACGCCGCGUGAGGGAUGAAGGCCUCUGGGCUGUAAACCUCUUUUCUCAAGGAAGAAGACAUGACGGUACUUGAGGAAUAAGCCACGGCUAAUUCCGUGCCAGCAGCCGCGGUAAUACGGGAGUGGCAAGCGUUAUCCGGAAUUAUUGGGCGUAAAGCGUCCGCAGGCGGCCUUGUAAGUCUGUCGUUAAAACGUGGAGCUCAACUCCAUUUCAGCGAUGGAAACUACAAGGCUUGAGUGUGGUAGGGGCAGAGGGAAUUCCCGGUGUAGCGGUGAAAUGCGUAGAUAU